GGGAGGAGAAAAUAAGACAUCUGAAUCUCCCAAGAACCUCCCAAGUCACUCAUCACAAGAGAUGACCCUGAACUCUCAGUAACAGCCUGGAAAACAGUUCAACUAAAACACUUUCUUUCCCCUCCCCCUUCCAUUCUGGUGCAGCGGGACUCCUGCAACUGUGAAGGCAUGAGGUGAGCAAAUGUCCUAAAAUACUUUCUCGAAUGAAGCUAUAUUUAUUUCAGAUACUAAACAGAAAUAUCAAUGAAGAAACUCAUUUAUGUAAGAUCAAAGUUGCACACUAAUUCCAAGAUCUGAGUUAGUCUUCUCUAGUUGCACAAUUGACCAUUUUACCAGAAAAAGUACCCAAAACAUAUCUAAAUAGAUUAAUUUAUUGGAAAUACUCAUCAUGCAACUGCUUCAGAAAUUCUGCCAGAUUCUCUCUUGUUGUAGUGGAUUGCCUCAAGAUAUGUUUUCUGUUUACUAAUGUUCUGGCUUAAAAGUCUGGCUCUUUGGCCACUAUCAUGACAUGCAACGGCAGAACAAGAGAGGCUUAGAACAGAACUGCCAACAUUUUCUUUCAUUCACCCCUUAGGUAAAUCUACUUAGCAACUCCAUGCAUAGCCUAUAAAAUUUUGUAAGGAAAAACAAAGUUUGUUGAC
rnacentral:lncRNA from 1 species